AUAAGCAUUUUUCAGCACUGUCAAGUCUUUGCAGGAGCAGACAUCUGAAGCAGGAGGGCCUUUCCACGCCUCUCCAGAGACCUUCCCUGGCUUGUCUCUGGCAACUCAUUUUUUGGUGAACAGAAGACUGC